rnacentral:rRNA from 1 species
UACGAAGGGGGCUAGCGUUGCUCGGAAUCACUGGGCGUAAAGCGCACGUAGGCGGAUUGCUAAGUCAGGGGUGAAAUCCUGGAGCUCAACUCCAGAACUGCCUUUGAUACUGGCGGACUCGAGUCCGGGAGAGGUGAGUGGAACUGCGAGUGUAGAGGUGAAAUUCGUAGAUAUUCGCAAGAACACCAGUGGCGAAGGCGGCUCACUGGCCCGGUACUGACGCUGAGGUGCGAAAGCGUGGGGAGCAAACAGG